rnacentral:rRNA from 1 species
UGCGGCGUGCUUAACACAUGCAAGUCGAACGAUGAAGAUCCCAGCUUGCUGGGGUUGGAUUAGUGGCGAACGGGUGAGUAACACGUGAGUAACCUGCCCCUGACUUCGGGAUAACUCCGAGAAAUCGGUGCUAAUACCGGAUAUGACACUUCCUCGCAUGGGGUGGUGUGGAAAGAUUUAUCGGUUGGGGAUGGGCUCGCGGCCUAUCAGCUUGUUGGUGGGGUGAUGGCCUACCAAGGCGUCGACGGGUAGCCGGCCUGAGAGGGUGUCCGGCCACACUGGGACUGAGACACGGCCCAGACUCCUACGGGAGGCAGCAGUGGGGAAUAUUGCACAAUGGGCGAAAGCCUGAUGCAGCGACGCCGCGUGAGGGAUGACGGCCUUCGGGUUGUAAACCUCUUUCAGUAGGGGACAAGGCCUCCUUUUUGGGGGGUUGAGGGUACCUGCAGAAGAAGCGCCGGCUAACUACGUGCCAGCAGCCGCGGUAAUACGUAGGGCGCAAGCGUUGUCCGGAAUUAUUGGGCGUAAAGAGCUCGUAGGCGGUUUGUCGCGUCUGCUGUGAAAACGCGGGGCUUAACCCUGCGCCUGCAGUGGGUACGGGCAGACUUGAGUGCGGUAGGGGAGACUGGAAUUCCUGGUGUAGCGGUGGAAUGCGCAGAUAUCAGGAGGAACACCGGUGGCGAAGGCGGGUCUCUGGGCCGUUACUGACGCUGAGGAGCGAAAGCAUGGGGAGCGAACAGGAUUAGAUACCCUGGUAGUCCAUGCCGUAAACGUUGGGCACUAGGUGUGGGGACCGUUUCCACGGUUUCCGUGCCGUAGCUAACGCAUUAAGUGCCCCGCCUGGGGAGUACGGCCGCAAGGCUAAAACUCAAAGGAAUUGACGGGGGCCCGCACAAGCGGCGGAGCGUGCGGAUUAAUUCGAUGCAACGCGAAGAACCUUACCAAGGUUUGACAUGCACUGGAAACACCCAGAGAUGGGUGCCCCUUUUUGGCCGGGGCACAGGUGGUGCAUGGUUGUCGUCAGCUCGUGUCGUGAGAUGUUGGGUUAAGUCCCGCAACGAGCGCAACCCUUGUCCUGUGUUGCCAGCGGGUAAUGCCGGGGACUCAUGGGAGACUGCCGGGGUCAACUCGGAGGAAGGUGGAGACGACGUCAAAUCAUCAUGCCCCUUAUGUCUUGGGCUUCACGCAUGCUACAAUGGGCGGUACAAAGGGUUGCGAUGCCGCGAGGUGGAGCGAAUCCCAAAAAGCCGGUCUCAGUUCGGAUUGGGGUCUGCAACUCGACCCCAUGAAGUCGGAGUCGCUAGUAAUCGCAGAUCAGCAACGCUGCGGUGAAUACGUUCUCGGGCCUUGUACACACCGCCCGUCACGUCACGAAAGUCGGUAACACCCGAAGCCGGUGGCCCACCCCUUUG